rnacentral:rRNA from 1 species
GAUGAACGCUGGCGGCGUGCCUAAUACAUGCAAGUCGAGCGAACAGACGAGGAGCUUGCUCCUCUGACGUUAGCGGCGGACGGGUGAGUAACACGUGGAUAACCUACCUAUAAGACUGGGAUAACUUCGGGAAACCGGAGCUAAUAACGGAUAAUAUAUUGAACCGCAUGGUUCAAUAGUGAAAGACGGCUUUGCUGUCACUUAUAGAAGGAUCCGCGCCGCAUUAGCUAGUUGGUAAGGUAACGGCUUACCAAGGCAACGAUGCGUAGCCGACCUGAGAGGGUGAUCGGCCACACUGGAACUGAGACACGGUCCAGACUCCUACGGGAGGCAGCAGUGGGGAAUCUUCCGCAAUGGGCGAAAGCCUGACGGAGCAACGCCGCGUGAGUGAUGAAGGUCUUCGGAUCGUAAAACUCUGUUAUUAGGGAAGAACAAAUUUGUAAGUAACUAUGCACGUCUUGACGGUACCUAAUCAGAAAGCCCCGGCUAACUACGUG